GCCCUUAUGGCCAAGUGGUAAGGCGUCCGUCUUGUACCGCUUACGACUGCAAACGGAAGAUCUCUUGUUCGAUCCAGGAUGGGGGCA